rnacentral:lncRNA from 1 species
GCGAGAAACGCGCCGCGGGGCCUGAACUUGGGGCUCGCGGGGCCCGUGCCUCUGCGCCUCUGUCUCUCUUCCCAGCCCCCUUGGGUUCCCGAGACCCCUGAGUUUUUUUUGCAGAACCUUUGUGGGUGCCACCUGGGAAUCUGCCCUUCCAACAAGCCCCAGGAUUCGGAUGCUGCAGUCUCUACUAAGCUUCACCUGUUUGUCUCAGGUGUUACGACCUGGCCAUUAGCAGAGUCAGGAGUGAGUGGAGUGAAUGCACUACCAAUCCCGCCUGAGCUCUCCUCUCCCGAACCUAAGUCGGAGGCAGGUUCUGAGCGGGAUAGGUGCCUGGUACUAGAUAUAUGUUACCAGUGUGUAUCACAUGGUUUCUCAGAUGGAGCCCAGAGUGAGUGAGACAAAGAAGAAAAGUUAACACAGAAAAGCUUUGGAAUUCCUCUGAGAUCUGGAGCUGGAGAGAUG